AACGAACGCUGGCGGCAUGCCUAACACAUGCGAGUCGAACGAGACCUUCGGGUCUAGUGGCGCACGGGUGCGUAACGCGUGGGAACCUGCCCUUAGGUUCGGAAUAACUCCCCGAAAGGGGUGCUAAUACCGGAUAAUGUCUUCGGACCAAAGAUUUAUCGCCUUUGGAUGGGCCCGCGUUGGAUUAGCUAGUUGGUAGGGUAAAAGCCUACCAAGGCGACGAUCCAUAGCUGGUCUGAGAGGAUGAUCAGCCACACUGGGACUGAGACACGGCCCAGACUCCUACGGGAGGCAGCAGUGGGGAAUAUUGUACAAUGGGCGAAAGCCUGAUCCAGCAAUGCCGCGUGAGUGAUGAAGGCCUUAGGGUUGUAAAGCUCUUUUACCCGGGAUGAUAAUGACAGUACCGGGAGAAUAAGCUCCGGCUAACUCCGUG
rnacentral:rRNA from 1 species